GUGUCUAUAGUUGGUAGUGUGUUUGCCUCACAUGUACAAAGCCCUGGGUUCAAUCCCCAGCAACACA
rnacentral:tRNA from 1 species